rnacentral:rRNA from 1 species
UGACGGGCCCGCACAGCAGCGGAGCGUGUGGUUUAAUUCGAUGCUACACGAAGAACCUUACCAGGGUUUGACAUGCAAGUGGUAGGAAACCGAAAGGUGACCGACCUUCGGGGAGCUUGCACAGGUGCUGCAUGGCUGUCGUCAGCUCGUGUCGUGAGAUGUUCGGUUAAGUCCGCUAACGAGCGCAACCCUCGCUGUGUGUUAUAUGUGUCACACGGGACUGCCGGUCUUAAGCCGGAGGAAGUGGGAUGACGUCAAGUCAGUAUGGCCUUUAUAUCCUGGGCUACACACACGCUACAAUGGUCGGUACAAUAGGUUGCCAAGCCGCGAGGCGGAGCCAAUCCACAAAGCCGGCCUCAGUUCAGAUUGUAGGCUGCAACUCGCCUGCAUGAAGAUGGAGUUGCUAGUAACCGCAGGUCAGCAAUACUGCGGUGAAUACGUUCCCGGGUCUU